UCCCUGGUAGUUCAUAUGGUAAAGAAUCUGCCUGCAAUGCAAAAGACCCAGGUUUGAUCCCUGGUUUGGGAA
rnacentral:tRNA from 1 species